GACGAAGGGGGCUAGCGUUGUUCGGAAUUACUGGGCGUGAAGCGCGUGUAGGCGGUUGUUCCAGUCGGGUGUGAAAGCCUUGAGCUCAACUCAAGAAAUGCACUCGAUACUGGAUGACUUGAGGACCGGAGAGGAUAGUGGAAUUCCCAGUGUAGUGGUGAAAUACGUAGAGAUUGGGAAGAACACCAGUGGCGAAGGCGGCUAUCUGGACGGUUUCUGACGCUAAGACGCGAAAGCGUGGGGAGCAAACAGG
rnacentral:rRNA from 1 species